GGGGGUAUAGCUCAGUGGUAGAGCAUUUGACUGCAGGUUGAGAGGUUCUCGGUACAAACCCGGGUGCCCUCU